CUCCCUCCUGUCCUGCUUCCCCUACAAAUCCCCGAGGAGGCACAGGGCAUGGGGAAUUUCUGAGAUUCACGCUCCUGUGGUACCAUGCCGUCAGCACGCAGCCAGGACAUCGGGCACACGCUGACGACCCUUCACCAGCACAGAAAUAGAUUUGGCAGAGCGCAUCAGGAAUGAACUAAUCAGCAGGGAAUUAACUGGCAUGUUUGUGAAAAGGCAGGAACAACGCGGUGAACAAAUUCAUGGCUGGAUGGCCGGAGGGUUCAAGCAGCCAGAGAGCAGCGCUGCAUCGUGGAAACUGUGACUAGUAAGAGAAGUCGUACAGCUGUGCCGGAGAGCCAGCGGUUGAGAGCUGCCCAAAAGAACCGGGGGCAAACAUAUACUGGUGUCCUUGCGGAUGGAGCUGCUUUCAAGAGGGGCUCCAUCGCCCAGGCUUUCCUUCCCAUAAGGCCCCCAUGUGUGGGGGGAGAUGGCUAGCUUGCAGGAGUGGGAGGGAGGGGUAGGAGAGGUACAGCUGGAGGAGGCUCCAGGGAAAGACUGUGAAAACGUGGAGAGCAGGGAAAUGAAGAGGGACACGUCACUCAUCGCAAGCUGAAAUGCAGAGGGGGUGGUGAGGAGAAGAGGAGCAGAGAGGCAGAGAUUUGGAAGCCUCGUCACAGAAGGACUGGCCUCAAGAGCACAGUAUUUUCCAGCGCAACACUGCAACAGAUCUGAAGACGUAUUUGCAACAGGCUUGGGAUCUGGUUCCUAUUACAGAUGACCCUGCAGACUUUUUCUGCUAGAAACCUGAUUAGCGAAUAUCCAUUUGCCUCCUACAAUUCCACCUAGGAGAAGCAAGAUUGCUCAAUUUCUGUAGCAGGGAAAAGUCAAGGUCCUACGAACAGCCACCAUGGUGACUCUUCCUCUUUUCCUCUUCUUCGUCCUCUUGCCCUGCAGUAAAUCCCAGGAGGACUUUCUGGACCAGCAUCAGAAAUGGAACUACAGAGAAGGCGCUGACAAGGUCAACAUAGAAGGCAUUAAUAGCAUUACUCAAACCCUUGAGAAAUGGGGAAAUAGCAUCUUCUGGCAAAUGAAACACACCCUGCUGAACAACCCGAAUGCUUUACUGCCCGAGUUCUCCAGUCUCCGCCCUGUCUCUGCGGCUGUGGACAAUCUCGUGAGGGAAGUCCAGUCGAUCAGGAAAAGGCUAGAAGAACUAAACGAACGCCUCAAUGUCAUCAGCAAAACCAUGCUUCCCAUCCGACUGAAUGCUCUGCAGAGCCAGAGGCGUGGAAAUACUCAGCUGCGGAGACUUCCGAUGCAUAGGAGAAGGUUGUAUGCUCGCAGGAGACCUCAGAGGAGUUAAUUCUCUACUGGGUAAAAAAAGAGAACUCUAUUUUUUUCAUCUGCUUAAGCCUUUCUCCAUGGGACGCUGCUAGAGAGAAUAAAGUAAAGCACAUACAAGUCAGCUUUACUAAGGAGACCAGAACUUCUGCAUUUUGUUGCUGCCUUUCAAACCAAAUCUGACUCUGUUCUUCACUGAUGGCUGUUUUGUGUCCCAAGCAGAAUGAGUUGACAAGCUCAGUCUACUGGAGUGCGAAUACCUUCAGGCUAUACAGUCAUUCUUUAUGCUUACCAGAGGAAGCUCUUUCUAUAAAGAUCAGGUGCAUUUCUCUCUCUGCCCUAUUUUUACAGCAUUCCAUCUGAAACAGCUGGGGAAUUUGAUAUUCCAAAGUGCUAAACGCCUGAUGAAUGCAGAGAGAUAGAUUAGUGCUUGGCACUUCCAGCUGGGCAGGCAGGGGUAGAGGAAUCUAUGUUUUAAAAUACAGCCUUAACCUAUUCUCCAUCAGUGCAAAGAAUGCCGCGUUCACAUGGUCAGAGAGAGGGUAGGGUUGGAUAACCUUGGUCUGUGCAUCAAGACUGAAGAUAUCUCAGAUUCUAGGGACCAAAUUUCACCAUCUAUCUUCUGCAAAUAACUUUUUUUUAGCUACCUGGAACUGGGGACUGAAAACCUUGUUAUUCAGCAGAUAUUUUCAGAAUUUCCAGCACUCUGAAAGACGUCGCAUUGACUUCUGCCAAGACCCUUAGAAAUCAGGAGACAUUUUUUCAAAACCGUUUAGAUACCUAAUGGCACAGGUAGGUGUCUAGAAGGAUUUUCCAAAAUAGCUUAAGAGACAGUUCAGUCCCCAAAAUCACCGAUAAUAAUUCAGUUGGUGUCCAAUUCACAGAGUAUCUUCUCCACAUGCAAGCACUGACCUCCAGACAUUUUCCAACAUCCUUUAGCGCAAUUAAGAUCUGUAAAAAAAGAAUAACUACACAACUCAAGGACUUUGGUGCCUCAGGGAGUACCCAGAAUACCCUGCCUUCAGCUUGUCUUUGCCUGUGGCUUCCUGAUGGUAGAACUGGCGAUAAAAGAAUAGUGCAGAAAUCAAAUUAUGCAAUAAUAGAUGGAGUGGUCUUGCCCUGCAGGUCUCCAAAGGUAAAUCCAAUACAGAGAUUCCCAUCCAGUGUUGCAGCCAACUGCCUACCUGAAAUAUGUUGAAACAAAGGUAAAAGAGUCAGAGAGGAAAAUGAAGUAUUUUUUUAAAGGUCUGGAUGAAGCAAUUUAUGAGAACAAAAAUAAAGAAUGGAUUAUGUCUCAAUGGUUGUGGGGGAGGCUGGCAUGACUGUUGUUUGGCAAACACUCUUCAAUCAUAAACAGUGAGGAUGCAGACUAGCUAUUUAAGGAUUCCCAAGGCCUGAGUUUAUGGAAAGGAGUUCAGUGACACUACAAUAACCUCCAGAGGGAAAAGGGAAAAACUAGUUUCAUAUGAAAUCUUGCAGAAUGAGCCAGAAGAAGUAACAGUCAGCAUUUUGGCUGUGACCUGGGAGUUGAGUGAGAGAAGUAAGAGGACUGUAUGAGACAAUGUGAUAAAUACUUUCCGGAUGUGAAUUCUCUGAGUUCAGGUUUUCAGAAAAUAACAAAACUCUAGCUUGGAAGGUCUUUCUUUGGCUUUUGCUUGGGAAUUUGAAACACUGCUUCACUAGACAAGGGAAAAAUCAAGCCUCUGAAAAAGCUGAUAAAAAGAUACAUUUGUGCCUUUGGUGAAGUUGGCAUCAUAAUUUCUCAGGAAAUGUAGAGUAUUUUGAUCCCAGAAUAUAUUUACCUAAAUUACAAGGAAUGACAGGAGAGAAAGGCCCCGUCAACCUCCUCCUCGUUAUUUUGCAUUCAGAGCUACUAGGCUGUGCUGUAGCAUCAGCUGCAUGCUUGCACAGACUGCUGGUCCCUCCAGGGGAUGCUUUACGCGCUUGCUUAGGGACUGCUGGUCACUUUGGCCUACCUCGAGGAAGAAUGCAACAUAAAUGUCAGCUUUUGUGUUCAUAUUUUAGAUAUGAGAAUUUUAUCAGGCAACCUGAAGUUGUAUGAAAUCAAUUGAAGACUACUUGAAACAGAAAGAUGAGACUUCCCUCAGUCACAGAUGGCUGGAGGUGGGAAGCUAGACCAGAUCACUGCAUGCUUUUAUUUUUUCCCUAGAUGUCCACCACCAGCUUUUGCCCGAGACAGAGCAGUGGGCAAGAUGGACCUCUGGUCUGACCCAGUCCAUCUAUUCCUACACUGAUAUGCGCAAGCUGGUAUUUUUGGCAAAACUCCUCAGCUCAAUGGAGAAACUCACCGUUUGUUUCAAAAGAGAACAAAUAAGCUGCAGCAUGCAAUGUAUAUUACAAUUUUGCAAUUUCUUGCAUAAUGGUGAAUAAACCAAAUAAUAUAAAUGGUUAAUAAAUUACUAGAUCUUUGACCUUGUCACCACUGAUAACAGCCCCUGUCAUUCACUCCGUGAAAGUCCAUGUCAGGCUCCAGCCCUGCUCCUUGGCCUGAGCACGGCCCGUUUGAUCAUGGGAUCAUGGCCAGCUCCUUAAACUUCCUUACCUUUGCACAACCCUCUCUCUCUCUUUAGAUGGAAAUGCUUUAAUGUCACAUUUCUUUUAUCAUUUUCUUUUUUGCUCCUUAAGAGGGUAGGAAAGUUAUGCAUUAGCCUGCUUCUGCCUCACUCACCUUCUAUUUGAGGAGGCGGGAGACCAGCUGAGGGAGACAUCUCAAGGUGCCUCUGUCUCCUCUGCCUGGGGAGGCUGCUCUGACCCCUGCCUGCCACAGGGACUGGUAUUUGAUUCCUGCCUCUGCUGCCGUCUUCUUAAACGAUCCUGGACAAGGCACUUUCUCUAGCUGGCACCCACUUGUGAUCAUGAAGGAUCCAAGUCCUCCAUGCACAUAAAUAGACCCAGCUAUAUAAAGCUGUCUGAGCCCCUUGUUGUGUUUAUUUACAUAUAUUUACGGGAAGGGACCUGGCUGGAGUUUUAAACGGAGUGGACGGGCUGGGCUGUGAACCCACGCAAGAGGUCAGCGGAGGGAGAGCAAAUACCAUCUGGCGGCGUCUAAGAUCCACCCCUUACCUAAAGGCCACGACACCCCCGGAGCCAUGGAGCACUGCCUGAAAUUCAGUGCCUUAAAAGAAUGCAACUGCGAUCCCCCUCUUAGCUCUGUUAAUUA